AUCGGGCGGGGCUCGGGGCCCGCGUGUUCCUGGUCGCCGGGGCUGCGGGGAGCUCUGGGACCAUGGGAUCUCCAAGCCGGGACUUGGAGAUGAAUGGAUUCAGGUACAGACAUUGAGGCCUUUUGGUUUUGCCUCUUGCAUGAGUGCUGAAGCUGUGGGAUGCAGCUUACAUCCAGCAUUUUCAGAACAGGUGCUCCCAUGACUACUGGAACAAAGAAGAAAAUCUCUAUCAAAAAGGUCAGCUCAGGGGAUUGAUUCUACAUGGGCACUGGGGAACUCAAGAUCAUGGCAACCACACAAUACUGUAAGUGCACUAUUUGGAAUACGUGGUCUCCUUAUUUGUGGGUCAGAAGAGAUAGGGAAAGGAUCACCUGCCUGCUCUGAAACUAUUUGGCUUAGAUGUGAGCACAUGACU